GGGGCCCUUGAUAGCUUUCAGUUCGGUGUGAGCCAAUGCGUGUUGAAGUCCGUACUUUAACCUGUAAUUGUUAACUUUAUAUAUAUACAUUGUUAUUUCGAUGGAGAGUUGUCUCAAUGGCACUAAUACCACAUCUUCUUAUUCAUAUGUAUAUAUAAAAACUAACAAAUCCUUGCAGAAAAUACAUACUCAGUAUACUAUUUGCAGUUAUAAUUAUAUGAAAACCGUUUUAUAAUAUUUAUUUCCACCUAUGUUAUCGAAUGCACAAGUCUUUUUGGAUAACGCUUCACCAAAG
rnacentral:lncRNA from 1 species